ensembl:miRNA MIR6749 microRNA 6749
GGCCCUCGGGCCUGGGGUUGGGGGAGCUCUGUCCUGUCUCACUCAUUGCUCCUCCCCUGCCUGGCCCAG